UGGAAAGUUCACGGUUCGACGCCAUGGAUCUCCAGGUGGGUCAAGGUUAGAGACGCACCAACCUGGAGGACUCCAUGCUGUCGAGCUGAUCACGA
rfam:Ornithorhynchus anatinus chromosome 10, whole genome shotgun sequence.